rnacentral:rRNA from 1 species
AGGACGAACGCUGGCGGCGCGCCUAACACAUGCAAGUCGAGCGAUAACCAGGGCUUGCCCUGGGGACAGCGGCGAACGGGUGCGUAACACGUGAGCAACCUGCCCCAAAGACCGGGACAACCCGAGGAAACUCGGACUAAUACCGGAUGCCCUCACCGGGUCGCAUGGUCUGGUGAGGAAAUGGAUUCCGCUUUGGGAUGGGCUCGCGGUCUAUCAGCUUGUUGGUGGGGUAACGGCCUACCAAGGCGACGACGGAUAGCUGGUCUGAGAGGACGAUCAGCCACACUGGGACUGAGACACGGCCCAGACUCCUACGGGAGGCAGCAGUGGGGAAUCUUGCGCAAUGGGGGAAACCCUGACGCAGCGACGCCGCGUGCGGGAUGAAGGCCUUCGGGUUGUAACCGCCUUCAGCAGGGACGAAAUUGACGGUACCUGCAGAGAAGGCCCGGCCAACUACGUGCCAGCAGCCGC